GUGUCAGCCGCCGCGGUAAUACGAAGGGGGCUAGCGUUGUUCGGAAUUACUGGGCGUAAAGCGCACGUAGGCGGACUCUUAAGUCAGGGGUGAAAUCCCGGGGCUCAACCUCGGAAUUGCCUUUGAUACUGUGAGUCUUGAGACCGGAAGAGGUGAGUGGAAUUCCUAGUGUAGAGGUGAAAUUCGUAGAUAUUAGGAAGAACACCAGUGGCGAAGGCGGCUCACUGGUCCGGUUCUGACGCUGAGGUGCGAAAGCGUGGGGAGCAAACAGGAUUAGAUACCCUAGUAGUCC
rnacentral:rRNA from 1 species